AGACCAAGGGGUUGAGUCAUUCUGGUUAUGGUUAAAAGGCAGUUAGGUUUAAUGCUGAUUUUAAGAAAACUGGGCUGUUUAAUGUUAUGUAUAGAAGUAAAAUUCAAAUAUAGUUGCAUGAUUUUUUAGUAGCUCCUUCACUGAACCUGCGAAAUUCUUGAGGGAAACUGGGAUUAGGUACCCCAUUAUUCUUGAAGGUAAAUUGCAUUUGCUACCUGAGUACUAUGAACGAACAAAGAUUUAAAACUCAAAGGACUUGGCGGUGUCUUAGACCGUUUAGGGGAACCUGUCUCGUAAUCGAUAGUCCACGUUAUACCUGACCUUUUUUUGUUAUCAGUUUGUAUACCGUUGUCGUCAGGUAACUUUUUAGAAAAGGGAAGUUAGCAAGUAGAAAGAAAUUAUUUAGUACGUCAAAUCAAGGUGCAGCUAAUAGAAAGGGGAGGAUGGGUUACAGUUAUUUAUUUAUAAUUUUACGGAUGCAAUUAUAGAAAUAUUUUGUUUAAGGAGGACUUAAAAGUAAAUUGAAAUAUAAAAGUAAUUUGAAUUAGGCUCUGAGACGUGU
rnacentral:rRNA from 1 species